AGAGAGAAAUAUUUACCUUGAAAGUGAAUUACUUUGUUUUGUAAGAUAGGGAAUUAAAAGCUACAGUGAUUCCAAGUAUUCACUCUUUACUUCAAAUUUUUAACCAACCAAUAAUAAUUAGAAUGAGAGUAUUAUAGGAUCAUUUAGUUUGGCUGAGAGCUACAGUCAAAAAAUCCUCAACUAUAUACAUCUCUAAACCUCAGGACAUAUAUGUAGCAAUGAGAGAAAACUGAUGAUGUACAAGAUACCCAUGAAAAGUAGUUUUCCAAACACAAGCUGGUGAAAUCAGCCUGGCUUCACUGACUUCAGUGGAACCAUGCUGAUUUACAUAAGAUUCAAAUCCAGCAUUCAAUGUUCAAUUUAGUAUUGGACAUUCAUCCAAAACAUAGACACAUUUAUCUGGUCUAGAAAUCUGGCAGGAAACAUCAUGGGGCCUGUUACUCCAUAUGAUCUUUUGUACAGCAAGAGCCAAAAAAGCCCUCUGUCAAGCCUUUUCUGUAUCUUUCUCUAAUCUGAGGAAACAAAGUAGAGUGUAAACCAGGGAACAAAGUUAACCAAAUCGUUUCAAAUCUCAAAGGUUUUAUUUUAAUUUUGGGGAUUUAGAGUCAUCUCAUAUUCUGUCUCAACUUGCUGCUUCUCCCUCAUUCCAAGCCUCUUUGAUAUUAAAGUACAACUUCUCACUCUUGUAUAACUAGAUUGAAUUAAGAGUCGCUUAGAUUUCAAGAAUGUCAUACAAUGCCUGGUCUGUGUUCCCUGAAGAUGAAAGGACUGUUGGAACUUGAAAUGUCACUAAGUCUUGCAAGUGAGAUCAACUUUGACCCGACCAUUUCUCCACGUUUUCAAGCAGAAAAAGAAGUUGGUUACAGUCUCAUAUUUCUUAGUCAGAGUAAGCAAGACUGAGAGAAAACAUCACAUAGAAGAGUAGAAGUAAAAACUGAAGCUUUAGUCUGUUGACUAUCUCUAGGGAAAAAAAAAACGUAUUCCUAUUGCUUUCAAAUAUGAUGGCAAAGCUCAUACCUGGAAAUCAUAUUUUUUCAACAUGAAACUCAAAAUAGAUAUCGUAGCUCUUAAAAAACCAGUAACAUUUUUAUAAUUGCUCAAGCAAACAAAUCUGUACAUAAUAAUUGUGUGUAUAAUAAAGUGUGCAUGAAAGAAAAACAUAAAUCAUUAUUGAAGAUACUGAACUCAACACAUGUAGCUGGAUAUAGCCCAUAUGAAUUAAAUAAAACAAAGCUAAAUUACAACUGAAGAUCUGACUCAUUAUUUUUAAUUUAAGGUUCAUGUCUUAGGAUUUCAGACCAUCACUAUAGGAGUGUUCCCGCCUUCUCCCUAAAUACUACACUAAGUAAUUUCCAAGAUGAGUUAUGGGGUAGAAGGGGAGUGUAAGUGCCUUCUGCUAGAACGUCCGAUGCCACCCAUUUUGCUGUGUGGUAUUUCUAAACUGGAUGCAGCAGUGAGCUGAUCCAGUACGACAAAUCCUACACCCUUGUCUUUUCCACGAUUUAGCUUCUCUGCAGAGUAGAAGAAAGGGAGCUGAAUACACAAGAUGCUGCAGCAUGCUGGAGCAUUCUGAUUGUAUUAGAACAUAUUCUAAUCAGAACAUGUUGGAGCAUGUGUAUAGGUGUACUCAGAUCCCAAUCUAAAUCAGCCCAUUUCAGGAAUGAAGUAAGUAGAAAAGGACUGAGACAAAACACAGACUGUAGUAAUCCAUGCCAAAUGACCAAGUAUACAGGAAUUUAAGACAAUAAUAAAGAAAAUAAAUUAGUACACAGUAAUGCAUGCAAGAGCCUACACACAGAUGUGCAGUCUUCUCCCAUGCGAACCUCCACAGCUGGAAUCAAAGUAACUAUGUCAGCCUGGUUUUACUUCCAGCAACAAUCUUUAGGUUUAUGAAAUAUUUCUAAUAUCUUUCUUCAUACAAUAUUAGCACUACAGUGCUGACUACAAAUGCUUGAUCUAGACAUUUUACUGAUGCUUACAGGAAUGACCUAACUCAUUUGGCAGCUUCCUUACUUAAAUGCAACCCUCCAAAACUUAUGCCAGCACAAUGCCUAUAACACAGGGUUGCACAUUUUAAUGUUCUAUUCAACAUUAUCCAGCACGCACACAGAGACACCUGGUGUUGGAAUUUCAAAAGCAUGAAACAUUGGCCGGACUGAUCUCAUUAGCAUCAGUGGAAGCUUUCCCUUUGAUAUUAACAGGAGUACUGUCAGAUCAAUACUGAUUUUCCUGAAAUUCUCCCUUCUCCCCACUGUGUAUUUAGAUGUAUUUUAUACAAUAAAUCCCAAUGCAAGAAAUCAUAAUUUGUCAAAGCUGGAGUCCUACAUAAAGCCCUUAGUUCUAGCUUUACUCUUGAACCAACAAGGAUAAACAUUCAGCCAGCAAUUAGGUUACAUGUUUACAAAAGCAACAUAAUCUUCAUGAUUAUUAGCAAUUUCACAUCAGAGGCUUUAUAUCAAAUUUCUUUCCAGUCUCUGCACCUUAUGACUUUUUUUUGGCAGACUUCCAAUUCCAGUGUCAUUCUGUCUUACCUUCAUCUUUCUCAUCAUUCAUGCAGAUUCUUACCAUUCUUUUCUGUCCCUAGGCUAAAAAUCUGGUUCCUUCACUUUGGCCUCCCUAACUUUUCCUCCUCUGACCUCCUGUAUUUCAAUACCUGUCAAUUGCUAUGGUAUUUUCAGAAUGCAGCAUCUGACAUCACUUUCUUGUUCUGAACCACAAAACCCCUGUCCUCAGGCCCUCAUCUCUCAAGAGCAACCCAUUUACUUCUGCACCUACCUUCUACUCUUUCUCCUCACCUCCAAAACUGCACACUCCUCUAUGUUCUGUGCUUUACAUUUCGAAUCAUUUUUUUACCCAAUCCUGUGUUCUUCUGACUAUUUUCCUAAAUAUUUAAUGUGCUCUCCUCUCACAUUUACCUCCAUCCAUAUGGUUGCUACAUUUGGAGCAGGUUCCUUCCUCUGUGCCAAAACGUUUCCUUCUGAGAAUCUUUUUCUCCCUUUCAGUUUGCUUUCUAAACACUAAUCUCUGCCUUCAUGCAGUCUGCUAUUUGCUUCAUGCCUGUUCCAUUUAAAAAGGGGAAGAGGAAGCAGAAGAAGAAAGAAAGAACUUUAUUUCUCAGAAUACUUUAUAAAUAAUGCUUUCCUCUUUCCACUCAAGUUCUUUUGCCAUUUCUGUUUACAGCUUAAUUUAAUUAGUCAGAUCCUCUGGCCAGAAACCUUGGUUUCAUUCUCAUCUGGAAAGAACCAGGAGCAUCCAGAAUGCCAUAUCAUUAUAUGAAUUUAGAAGUUCCAAGUAAUCUGCAGUGUGCAUCAAAUAUGACACAGUCCGGGCUCUGAAUUCUUGCAUUGCUUGUUAAAGACACACAAUAAAAUGGCAGUAUAUUGUAGCAUCUUCUAAGACUUCAGUUCUGGCCCUCCAUUCUUUUUCUGCCAAGUAACUGCAUAGUAAUGCUGAAAAACUUAAUUUAGUUUUUGGCUAUCUAAAUUGAUUGUGGCCCCAGAGACCUGUAUAAUGAGCCUACAGCUACAUUUUGGGCAUCCACAGGCCUACCUUAUCAAUGGGAUAAGAAACUCCUUGAGCCCAUGAUAUGGGUUUCUGUUUUCAGUAUUUAACAUUUUGAUUGUACCCACACUGAUAGACUCCUGUUUCUUCACAAGGAGGAGCUAUCAAGGUCAUUACAAAUUGGCACCACUGCUGGGACUUGAAGUCCUGUCAACCAUUUGGGAUUAACUUUGCCUAUGAAAUCAUGCAACAUACUGGCUAGCUGUUAUGAUUAUAUCCCAGUGAAGUCAUUUGCUCAUGUUGAGGAUAAGAAUCUGAAGUGUACAGCUAGGAGGAAUCAAUCCUUGGACUCAAGCAGUUGAGGCCUUGUGAUCUUGGUUUCAAAGACCAUAAGUUCUUAUGUUGAUGCUGAAUCUGGUGUCUCUAUUUACGUGGUAAUACAUAUGAUGUAUACACAUCUAUUCUAAAACCAUGCAGAACAGCUUACUCCUGGCACAAACAAUCAAGGAUAAAUAUAUGUAAGGCUAUGACCGUGCCAGGAAGAAUGCCUAUUAAAAAUAUAUAUGGAUCAUAACCCCACGCCAAUCUUUAAUGUCCUGUUAGCACCACAUGUACAAGCAUUAGAGAGUAAACUAGAUUUUCUUUGGGCUCUUGCAACAAUAGAGUUGAUGCAAUAAUAGAAGUCUUGUAACAUCAUCACUGAAUGAGAAGCAGCCAGGUUUUUUUUUGUCUUCAAACUUAGGUGAACUUUUAGGGUUAUUAGAAAAAUCUCUAUUUAUAUUCAUAAAAAAUCUUCAUUCAUAUU